GCCGGGAUAGCUCAGCUGGGAGAGCAACAGACUGAAGAAAAUCUUGCCUUCUGGAGGUCCCGUGUUCAAUCCACGGUCCUGGCA
rfam:Punctularia strigosozonata HHB-11173 SS5 unplaced genomic scaffold PTNSTscaffold_13, whole genome shotgun sequence.